UGGUGCUGGCUUCACUCUGCAGG
rnacentral:piRNA from 1 species